UGGUAGAAUUCAGAUGAGAUCAAGAUGCACUGCAUAUACAUGUUCACAUUCUCGAAGUCUACUGCG
rnacentral:pre_miRNA from 1 species